rnacentral:rRNA from 1 species
AUUGAACGCUGGCGGUAUGCUUAACACAUGCAAGUCGAACGGUAGCAGGCCUUCGGGCGCUGACGAGUGGCGGACGGGUGAGUAAUGCAUAGGAAUCUGCCUAUUAGUGGGGGACAACGUGGGGAAACUCACGCUAAUACCGCAUACGCCCUACGGGGGAAAGCUGGGGACCUUCGGGCCUGGCGCUAAUAGAUGAGCCUAUGUUGGAUUAGCUAGUUGGUAGGGUAAAGGCCUACCAAGGCGAGGAUGGUUAGCUGGUCUGAGAGGAUGACCAGCCACACUGGCACUGAAACACGGGCCAGACUCCUACGGGUGGCUG